CCCUACGGGGUGCAGCAGGCCAAUAUGUACAAGUUCAUGCGGCGCUUGCUGGUGCGUCGCUUCGAGAGCUCGUUCGGCGCAUUCGCCAGGAGCCUCGACAACGCUAUCCGCAUGCACGGGCAUGUGGAGGAUUUCGCCAAGCGCACGGGCCGGAUCCUCAUCGACCGGACCAUGAUGGAACGGCUCAUGGAGAUCGACGGCGACGAGGAGGCCGACGAAGCCCUGGCGGAAUAUCUGGCGGAACUGGAAGAGGAAAAGGCCCGGCCUCGCCAGCAGGUCUAUGAUCUGGCCGGCGAUUUCGACCGCAAGCGGUUUUUCAAGGAACUGCAGGAGGAUCGAAAGCUGUUGCAGGCGGUGCGGGACCAGGUGGAUGAACUGGAAUUGGCGGGAGGGC
rnacentral:rRNA from 1 species